GGCGGCUUCUCCCUGGGUGCUGGCAGCUCCCAGGCCCUGCCAUCGGCAGCAGAGGUGGAUCAGGCGGUGCUGGAGCUCCGUGUGCUGCUCAACAUCACCCUGGGCAGCCCCUCGGAUCGGCUCCUGGCCAACCUCAGCCGCUUCAUUGAGGGCUUGGAUGCACGCAGGAACGUCAAGGUCUGGUUCAACAACAAGGGC